AGCUCCAAUGGCGUAUAUUAAAGUUGCUGCGGCUAAAAAGCUCGCAGUUGGAUUUCUGCUGAGGAUGACCGGUGCGCCCUCUGGGCAGGUAUCUGGCUCAGCCUUGGCAUCGUCCUGAAGAACGUAGCUGCACUUGACUUUGUGGUGCGGUAUUUAGGACAUUUACUUUGAGGAAAUUAGAGUGCUUCAAGCAAGCGCACGCCUUGAAUACAUUAGCAUGGAAUAAUAAGAUAGAACCUCGGUUCUAUUUUGUUGGCUUCUAAAGCUGAGGUAAUGAUUGAUAGGGAUAAUUGGGGCCAUCCGUAUUUAACUGUCAGAGGUGAAGUUCUUGGAUUUGUUAAAGACGGACUACUGCGAAAGCAUUUGCCAAGGAUGUUUUCA
rnacentral:rRNA from 1 species